rnacentral:rRNA from 1 species
UACGUAGGGUGCAAGCGUUAAUCGGAAUUACUGGGCGUAAAGCGUGCGCAGGCGGUUAUGCAAGACAGAUGUGAAAUCCCCGGGCUCAACCUGGGAACUGCAUUUGUGACUGCAUGGCUAGAGUACGGUAGAGGGGGAUGGAAUUCCGCGUGUAGCAGUGAAAUGCGUAGAUAUGCGGAGGAACACCGAUGGCGAAGACAAUCCCCUGGACCUGUACUGACGCUCAUGCACGAAAGCGUGGGGAGCAAACAGG